rnacentral:rRNA from 1 species
CCUGGUUGAUUCUGCCCUUUGUCAUAUGCUUGUCUCAAAGAUUAAGCCAUGCAUGUCUAAGUAUAAACACGUUAUACUGUGAAACUGCGAAUGGCUCAUUAAAUCAGUUAUAGUUUAUUUGAUGGUUUUUGCUACAUGGAUAACUGUGGUAAUUCUAGAGCUAAUACAUGCGUACAAGCCCCGACUUCUGGAAGGGGUGUAUUUAUUAGAUAAAAAUCAACACUGUUGGUGAAUCAUGAUAACUUCUCGGAUCGCAUGGCCUCGUGCUGGCGAUACUUCAUUCAAAUAUCUGCCCUAUCAACUGUCGAUGGUAGGAUAGAGGCCUACCAUGGUUGCAACGGGUAACGGGGAAUAAGGGUUCGAUUCCGGAGAGGGAGCCUGAGAAACGGCUACCACAUCCAAGGAAGGCAGCAGGCGCGCAAAUUACCCAAUCCCGACACGGGGAGGUAGUGACAAUAUGUAACAAUAUACGGCUUUAUCGUCGUAUAAUUGGAAUGAGUACAAUUUAAAUCCCUUAACGAGGAACAAUUGGAGGGCAAGUCUGGUGCCAGCAGCCGCGGUAAUUCCAGCUCCAAUAGCGUAUAUUAAAGUUGUUGCAGUUAAAAAGCUCGUAGUUGGACCUUGGGCCUGGACGGGCGGUCCGCCUCACGGCGUGUACUGUCUUGCCGGGCCUUUCCUCUUGGUGAUCUGUUGUUUCGGCAGCAGGGAACCAGGACCUUUACUUUGAAAAAAUUAGAGUGUUCAAAGCAGGCUCGACGCCGGAAUAUAUUAGCAUGGAAUAAUAAAAUAGGACGUGCGGUUCUAUUUUGUUGUUUUUUGAAUCGCCCGUAUGAUUAAUAGGGACAGUCGGGGGCAUUAGUACUCACAUGCU